GGGGUCUUAGCUCAGCUGGGAGAGCAUCUGCCUUACAAGCAGAGGGUCAUAUGUUCGAGCCCUAUAGGUCCCA
rnacentral:tRNA from 1 species